CAAUCUCCUGAAGACACAUUUGAACUUGAAAUCUAUCUGAUGAAACCCCAAAGUCAUGGGUUUCCUGUACUACUCUGCACUGGCAAACCUGUGGUCUCGAUAGACAAUGGGUAAAUGUCAGUGUUUCAAAGGGAGAUCACACAGCUUGUGUUGUACAGGAGCGGAGGCCUAGAUACAGCCAUCAUUAGUCAGCUGUGGUUUUCUGCCAUAACACAGCAAGGCCCUCACUGCAAGUCUCUCUCACGUUACGACAUGGCCACUGAAUGCUGGCACAUGACAACUUCACCCUGACGCAGGGCUUUCUUAUCAGCCUGUUCAAGAGGGUGACAGACCUCAUGAGAAAGCUGGAUAUCGAAAUGAAGAGUAAGAGAUGAUAUUGAAGAGGAAAAAGAAGGCCAAAGGCACCUGUGUCUUGUGUCAGAGUGACCUCUUGGGCAGAGGUCAGGGAAGGGAGGGACAGUGUGAGUUCAGAUUCCAGCCUAGGGCAGAGGGAGCUGUCAGCUAAGAGAGAGGCAGGAGAGCCCCUUGUACUGAGCCUACUGAUGGAGAGAAGAGAGACAAGGAUUAGGGGAGGCCCCUCGAAACCUGCCCGACACAGGACCAACAGUGAAAGGAUGUCGGUGGGCGGAGCCGGGAGAGUCGUCAGUGAAAUGGGACACACCUGGGCUCGGGUGUGUCCCAGGAUAAAUGCACCACUUCCCCAUUCAUUGGGGAGACUCUCUCCAUGCAGACACAGACAGAUUUUGGUUGUGGC
rnacentral:lncRNA from 1 species